rnacentral:rRNA from 1 species
AUUACCUACGGGAGGCAGCAGUGGGGGAUAUUGCACAAUGGGGGAAACCCUGAUGCAGCGACGCCGCGUGGGCGAAGAAGUAUUUCGGUAUGUAAAGCCCUAUCAGCAGGGAAGAAGAAAUGGCGGUACCUGAGUAAGAAGCACCGGCUAAAUACGUGCCAGCAGCCGCGGUAAUACGUAUGGUGCAAGCGUUAUCCGGAUUUACUGGGUGUAAAGGGCGUGUAGGCGGGAAAGCAAGGCAGAUGUGAAAACCAUGGG